rnacentral:rRNA from 1 species
UACGAAGGGGGCUAGCGUUGCUCGGAAUCACUGGGCGUAAAGGGUGCGUAGGCGGGUCUUUAAGUCAGGGGUGAAAUCCUGGAGCUCAACUCCAGAACUGCCUUUGAUACUGAAGAUCUUGAGUUCGGGAGAGGUGAGUGGAACUGCGAGUGUAGAGGUGAAAUUCGUAGAUAUUCGCAAGAACACCAGUGGCGAAGGCGGCUCACUGGCCCGAUACUGACGCUGAGGCACGAAAGUGUGGGGAUCAAACAGGG